rnacentral:rRNA from 1 species
UGGUUGAUCCUGCCAGUAGUCAUAUGCUUGUCUCAAAGAUUAAGCCAUGCAUGUCUAAGUACACACUUUGGUAAAGUGAGACCGCGAAUGGCUCGUUAAAUCAGCUACAAUUUAUUAGAUCGUACACUGUUACUUGGAUAACUGUGGGAAUUCUAGAGCUAAUACAUGCCGAGAGUCUCUGCUCUUCGGGGCAGAGCGCAGUUAUUAGACCAAAACCAGCCGUAUUCUUCGGGGUACGCUCUUUUGGUGACUCUGGAUAACCUUCAGCCGAUCGCAUGGCCUCGUGCCGGCGACGUAUCUUUCAAGUGUCUGCCCUAUCAACUUUCGAUGGUACGUGAUAUGCCUACCAUGGUGAUAACGGGUAACGGGGAAUCAGGGUUCGAUUCCGGAGAGGGAGCCUGAGAAAUGGCUACCACAUCCAAGGAUGGCAGCAGGCGCGCAAAUUACCCACUCCCAGCUUGGGGAGGUAGUGACGAAAAAUAACAAUGCGGGACUCUAAGAGGCCCCGUAAUUGGAAUGAGUACACCUUAAAUCGUUUAACGAGUAUCAAUUGGAGGGCAAGUCUGGUGCCAGCAGCCGCGGUAAUUCCAGCUCCAAUAGCGUAUAUUAAAGUUGCUGCAGUUAAAAAGCUCGUAGUUGGAUCUGGGGCUUGAGGUCGCUGUCUAUCGUUUCGGCGAUGACGGUGAUGCUCAGCUCUGCUUGCCGGUGACUGUUGCGGUGUUCUUCACUGAGCGCUGUAGCAGCACGGCACGUUUACUUUGAAAAAAUUAGAGUGCUCAAAGCGUGCUUGUCGCUUGAAUAAUGUUGCAUGGAAUAAUGGAAUAGGACCUCGGUUCUAUUUUGUUGGUUUUCGGAGCUUGAGGUAAUGAUUAAGAGGGACGAACGGGGGCAUUCGUAUUGCGGUGUUAGAGGUGAAAUUCUUGGAUCGCCGCAAGACGGACUACUGCGAAAGCAUUUGCCAAGAACGCUUUCAUUAAUUAAGAUCGAAAGUCAGAGGUUCGAAGACGAUCAGACACCGUCCUAGUUCUGACCAUAAACGAUGCCGACCAGCGAUCCGUAGUCGUUGCUUUAUGGACCCUACGGGCAGCCUCCGGGAAACCAAAGUAUUUGGGUUCCGGGGGAAGUAUGGUUGCAAAGCUGAAACUUAAAGGAAUUGACGGAAGGGCACACCAGGAGUGGAGCCUGCGGCUUAAUUUGACCCAACACGGGAAAACUCACCCGGUCCGGACACCGUAAGGAUUGACAGACUGAUAGCUCUUUCUUGAUUCGGUGGAUGGUGGUGCAUGGCCGUUCUUAGUUGGUGGAGUGAUUUGUCUGGUUAAUUCCGAUAACGAACGAGACUCUAGCCUGCUAAGUAGUGUUGCUAUUGUUAUAUGGUUGACACUUCUUAGAGGGACAAGUGGCAUUUAGCCACGCGAAAUUGAGCAAUAACAGGUCUGUGAUGCCCUUGGAUGUCCGGGGCCGCACGCGCGCUACACUGGAGAAGUCAGCGUGUGUUAUCCAAGUCCGAAAGGACUGGGUAAUCCGUUGAACCUUCUUCGUGCUUGGGACUGUGGCUUGGAACUAUUCCACAUGAACGAGGAAUUCCUAGUAAUUGCAAGUCAUAAGCUUGCGUUGAUUACGUCCCUGCCCUUUGUACACACCGCCCGUCGCCACUACCGAUUGAAUGGUUUAGCAAGGUCCUCGGAUCGUGGCCGUAGGGGCACGCAAGUGUUUCUGCGGUUUGCGAGAAGACGACCAAACUUGAUCAUUUAGAGGAAGUAAAAGUCGUAACAAGGUU